CUAACACAAGAUAUUUUCCAUCUGUUUUUCUCUAGAACCUUCUACUCCACUUCCCAUUUUUAUAUCACUCGGCUCUCACUCUCUUUCAUUAAUCCCCACAAAAUCCACCUUUAAAUCCUUUCAAAACCGUUAAUCUAAGUAUAACUGAAAAAGUAAAAGGAAAUGGAGAAAGGAGUGAGAGUGAAGCGGGAGGAAGAGGACGUUGCCACCGCCGUGACGGCGGCGCCGCUACCAAUGGAGGGGCUGCAUGACGUGGGUCCACCACCGUUUUUGAGCAAGACGUAUGAAAUGGUGGAAGACCCUUCAACGGAUGCAGUAAUUUCAUGGAGCAGAGCAAGAAAUAGCUUUAUUGUUUGGGAUUCUCAUAAGUUUUCAACCACUUUGCUGCCUAAGCAUUUCAAGCACAGUAAUUUCUCCAGUUUCAUUCGCCAGCUUAACACAUAUGGUUUUAGAAAAGUGGAUCCGGAUAGAUGGGAAUUUGCGAAUGAAGGUUUUCUAGGCGGACAGAAGCAUCUUUUGAAGACCAUAAAGAGGAGGAGGAAUGUAGGUCAGAGCAUGAACCAACAAGGAUCCGGGCCGUGUAUUGAAAUAGGGUAUUAUGGAAUGGAGGAGGAGCUCGAAAGACUAAAGCGGGAUAAGAAUCUUUUGUGGACUGAAAUAGUUAAGCUUAGACAGCAACAGCAGAGUACUAGAAAUCAGAUCAUUGCAAUGGGAGAAAAAAUCGAAAGCACAGAGAGGAAACAAGAGCAGAUGAUGAGUUUCCUAGCCAAGAUUUUCAGCAAUCCGACUUUUCUCCAGCAAUACUUGGAUAAAUGUGUGCAAAGAAAAGAUAAACAACGCAUUGAAGUUGGGCAAAAGAGGAGACUAACUAUGACCCCCAGUAGUGAGAACCUUCAAGAUUUUGUAUCAGUUGCCAACGGAAGUGAUCAGCCUAUGAAUUACUCCACUCGAGAUCGUGAAACGGAGCUUACAAAUAUGGGAAGCGAUAUGGCAAUGCUGUUCUCUGCUGCAUUGGACAAUAAAUCAAGCAGCAACGCAAGGUCGGCUUCUGUUGUGACAGCAAGUGCAACCGAUAUGGAUCUAGUGCCUGAGAAUAUUUGGGAAGAGUUGCUCGGUGAAGAUCUUAUAUCCGGGGAUGGAGCAGAGGAAGUACUGGUUAUUGAUCAACCUGAGCUUGACGUAGAAGUUGAAGAUCUUGUUGGGACAACAUCUGAUUGGGGUUAAGAUGCAGAUCUACUUUCAUGAAGAUUUGAGGCAAUCUUUAGUAGGGAUCACACGGAUAUCAAAUGAUUGAAGCUCCUUGUGGAAACAACUUCUCUACCUUUACUAGGUAGGGUAAGGUUCGCGUACACACACUAUACGGUAAAGGUAGGGUAAGGUUUGCGUACACACACUAUACUAUGUUUGUUGUUGUUGUUGUUGUUGAUUGAAGCUCCUUGUGAUGUUCAACGGAGGUAGACCUAUGUGGAUAUUCCGUAAUCUAAUUUUGUUUAUUGGAUGAGUGGAUUUGCCACCUUGGGCAGUCUGGUGUUCUUUAACUUCUCAGUGUACGGCGGAGGUCUAUGCUGCAAGAUGCAAGUAUGCACCCCCUGUACUGUGUUACUGCACUCUCAAGAAGUAGUUGCUGUAAUCAGGGAAAGAUUUAUUUGAGCUGAGUCUUAUGGUUUUGAUAGAUUAUGGCCUGUGACUGCUGAAGUUCUAGGACUCGCUUUAAAGUGUUUCAGGUGGAAUAUUACGAUAGAGGUAUUUAGCCAUCAAAAAGUUUGAGAUAUGUGGUUGAGUUAUAGCUUCUAAGUGACAUUUGUAUAGUUAAGUGAUUUUUAUGUUAUAAACAGAUAAAAUAUGAUUUUACUAGAUAGUUUCGGAUAAAUGAGUGAUCGAUCAACUCAUGUAACAAUUAAUACAUGUUUUAUCGCUAAUUAUCCGCUAAAACUUAUAUUUUAUAA